UACGAAGGGUGCAAACGUUGCUCGGAAUUAUUGGGCGUAAAGAGCUCGUAGGCGGUUUGUCGCGUCUGCCGUGAAAGUCCGGGGCUCAACUCCGGAUCUGCGGUGGGUACGGGCAGACUAGAGUGAUGUAGGGGAGACUGGAAUUCCUGGUGUAGCGGUGAAAUGCGCAGAUAUCAGGAAGAACACCCGUGGCGAAGGCGGCUCUCUGGGACGGUACUGACGCUGAGACGCGAAAGCGUGGGGAGCGAACAGG
rnacentral:rRNA from 1 species